CCCCAGGUCAGGCGGGGCUACCCGCUGAGUUUAAGCAUAUCAAUAAGCGGAGGAAAAGAAACUUACGAGGAUUCCCCUAGUAACGGCGAGCGAACCGGGAAAAGCCCAGGUUGAGAAUCGAUCGCCCCCGGUGUUCGA
rnacentral:rRNA from 1 species